GUGCUCGCUUCGGCAGCACAUAUACUAAAAUUGGAACGAUACAGAGAAGAUUAGCAUGGCCCCUGUGCAAGAAAGAUGAACGUGUGGCCAAUAGGAAAGGAAGCACACAUUA